rnacentral:rRNA from 1 species
CUUGAGGCUUGCCUUGGGGAGAGUGGCGCACGGGUGAGUAGCGCGUGGGAACCUGCCUUGGAGUGGGGGAUAACCGAGGGAAACUUCGGCUAAUACCGCAUGCGCCCGGGGGCGACCCCGGGGAAAGAUUUAUCGCUCUAAGAGGGGCCCGCGUCGGAUUAGGUAGUUGGUGGGGUAACGGCCUACCAAGCCGAUGAUCCGUAGCUGGUCUGAGAGGAUGAUCAGCCACACUGGGACUGAGACACGGCCCAGACUCCUACGGGAGGCAGCAGUGGGGAAUAUUGGACAAUGGGCGCAAGCCUGAUCCAGCAAUGCCGCGUGAGUGAGGAAGGCCUUAGGG